rnacentral:lncRNA from 1 species
CCUACACAUGCCUGUCUGGUAUUAUCCCAAAGGUCAUCACCAGGUCGCUGUGGAAUCCUGGGCACCAGGCCCCUUCGCCAGCCACCAUUCCUGCUCCAGGUCCAGCUUCUGCAUCCAGCCCGCUCCGGCUCACAUCGACAGCCCGGCAAGUUCCACUCCUCUGCGCUGGACUUGACCUUGCCCUUCACCCUUUUGCCUCUGCUCCUGCAGGUGUCCCAGCGCUUGGAGCAUCUCCAGUGCAAGUCGGACGGAUUUCCUAAACUCACAACAGGAGCCAGGGCCCUCAUACACUGGAGUCGCCGCGAUCUUUCCCACGGAC